rnacentral:rRNA from 1 species
GACGAACGCUGGCGGCGUGCUUAACACGUGCAAGUCGAACGGAAAGGCCCUGCUUUUGUGGGGUGCUCGAGUGGCGAACGGGUGAGUAACACGUGAGUAACCUGCCCUUGACUUUGGGAUAACUUCAGGAAACUGGGGCUAAUACCGGAUAGGAGCUCCUGCUGCAUGGUGGGGGUUGGAAAGUUUCGGCGGUUGGGGAUGGACUCGCGGCUUAUCAGCUUGUUGGUGGGGUAGUGGCUUACCAAGACUUUGACGGGUAGCCGGCCUGAGAGGGUGACCGGCCACAUUGGGACUGAGAUACGGCCCAGACUCCUACGGGAGGCAGCAGUGGGGAAUAUUGCACAAUGGGCGGAAGCCUGAUGCAGCAACGCCGCGUGCGGGAUGACGGCCUUCGGGUUGUAAACCGCUUUCGCCUGUGACGAAGCGUGAGUGACGGUAAUGGGUAAAGAAGCACCGGCUAACUACGUG